ensembl:lncRNA
GCUGAGAUUACUUUCAGAGAAUUAAAAACAUGGAAUGCUGUGUAUUCCUGUAAAAAGGCAUACUUCAGGAUCUUGAACAUUGUGGCAGCACUGAAAAUGUGAAUCUCUAGGGGUCAGGUAAACAGAGCGCAGAUCUUCUAUCAAAAUCAAAACUGCAUUAAUGCAGUCCUGCCGAACUGCGUGGCAAAGCAAGAGAUGAUGUGUUACAAGGCAGUAACCUGUCUGCACUGGUUUUGUGUGAUGUUACUUGCAAAUUGGAGCUGCCAAAUUCUACUUCAUGUAUAUCUGUAUCUGCUGAAAGGUAGGCCUGUGUAAGAUACCAUGCUGAGCGCUUCAUUUGAAGCCCACUGCUUGGAAAGAUCUGGGAACAGUAUGCUGCUUACCCAGAUGAUGUCACUGGUGAAGUCUUGUUCAAACAUCAAAUUGUGCCUGCCAAGGCAGGAGGAGUCCUGUGAUUACAGUGCAGCAAGGCCCAUGCAAGACCAUAGGAGAACUGGCUGGAGAGGAAAUAAGGGAGCAGUAAUGCAAAUGGGUUUACUGGGGAAGAGGAGUGGAUUCUGGGGACUGCAACAGAAACAAUUGUGCUGCUGGACUGACUACAGUUGUGCUGGAGAGCUGUUCUGAAUGAGCGUAGACAAUCAAAUGCUUCAUCAAAGCUGAAGUCCAGGUGUGUGUGUGCUGCUCAGCAUGUGUAUGCACACGUCUGUGCAGGCUGUCCCCAGAUGAAACACAGACACCCUUGUAAAGAGAAGUGAGGACGCUUUGAUAGGUACUCAGUUUGGGAAACCCCUUUUUCCUGCUUUCACUGGGGUUUUCUGGCAGGGCUAUGUGUUGAAAAGGAGGCAAUAGAAGCUUAGGUUUUUCAUUUUUCAAGGGGAAUGUUUCUGAAAUACCUUUUUUUUUCAAAAUCUUCAGAAAUAAUUUGGCAUCGAACUAUAGUGGCUUGAGAUGUGUAUUAUCUUAAAGCCUAACCUCGAUGUAUUUUAAAGAUGUUCAUUAACAAAGCUUUUCUGCUAUGCGUAGUGCACAAAAGUAGUCUCUCAUUACUCCUUGUCUGUGUGCAGUGACACUGAGAAAAGGUUGGAUUUCCUUUGUUCCAGUGGUGAUUUGUGGCCUUGGAUAUUAUAGACAUUGGAUACUGUGAAGGAGUAAAAUGCACACUGUACUGAAAUUCCAGACCCUGAAAUGAAGGUUGUUCUUAAAGCUUAUUAGACUGGCGUUCAAACUGUCAUUUCCUUUCAAAAGCCUCUGUGGAAAAAGUAUUGGAAAGGCUACAAAAGUUGAGAAACUUGGAAUUGAAAUCAAGGACAGGUUUUGUAUCCUAGUCUGUUGGGGCCACAAAUUUAGCAACCACGUGAAAAAUACAUCUGUCCUCUCCAAAUAUAUGUACUUACAUGAGCAAAAUUGCUUUAUUUAUUUGACAAGACUGAAAUACAAUACGUAGUAGUCAAAGAUGGGUAGGUUAUAUCAGGCUUUGUGCUGCAUGAGAGCAAGUUCCAUCUCCUUGCUUUAUCACAGCAUCAGAAUAUUAUGAAAGGAAGCUGUUUUUUUUUCCCUUGGUCAGAUAAAACCCAUUCAAUGCUUUAUCUCAAUCUUAGGUUAGAAAGAAUUCUUUAAAGAACACACUAAAGUCAAGCCAAGCUUCUUGUCAAUGGAGUGUCUUGACAUGUCAGGGAAUGAAGUCAAGUCCUCUCCCCCCAAAAAAUCCCUUGUGCCACUUAAUACCACUUUAGUUUGUUUUUCAUGUGAGAACUGUGAUUUACUUGGGGCACAGUUACAGCCUCUGGCACAUCACUGUUCUGCGCCAAGAAAAAUAUCCGCCAGUAGAGAUUUUUUGUUGAAUUUUGACAGGGUUGCUGCUUGGAAUUCAGCACAGCACUGUUAUCAAAGAUGAAUUGUUUUUGCCAUUUAAUAUUUGUUAGGAGAGUUGCAUUGGAUGUGUGCUUUUUUCACUCCAGGGAAGGGAAGGAGGUACAGUGUAACUUCAUUGUGGAUUGUUUGUACCUGUAGCCAUUGGUUUCUUUCUCUUCAAUUUUCUCUAUGGAAUUUAUUUUUUUCACCCAGAGACACUAAAAUAUCUGAUUUGUGCAAGCACAGUAGUGAGACUGUUCUUCUCUGAAGAAGGUCAAUUUAUUUUACUGCUCUCUGACUUUAUCAGGUCAAAUUAUCUUCAGAGCAGAAAUAGACCAAAGAUGCCUCUCCCUUCUCCCUCCUCCCCCAAAUUAAAAAUCAGGUAUGGCAAAACAGAAACAUUAGUUUCCUAGUUGUCUACAUGCUGCUUUUUGAGUUAUUCCAAAAAGCCACUAGCUUGGUAGGAGAUGACUUCUAUUUAUUUAACAAGCUCCUAGGUGGAGGUCACAGUCAUCUUUGGAAGGUGUAACUCUCAGAUUUCCAAGUUUGGACCAUGUGGGCUAAACUCGAAGAAAUUCAGAAAGUCUGAGAAGAGUCUUCAGCCUCUGAAGCUGUUCUAUGUGUAUGUGCCACCACGUGCUCAGUUUUCAAUGGAUGCAAUGGAUGUAAGUCAUGACUCAUUGACACAAACCAGUAAUUUGCAUGCCAAAUUGAAAAACAGUGCCUGAAGACAAAUGCAUAGAGAACUGACCUCAGCCUAGAGAUCUGAUAAAGUAUGCUUAAAAAAACCCACACGUAUUCUUAGAAUCUCCCUGGAUUUUUGUGCUGCUGUUUCUGAGAUAGGUGGCUCCAGAUGACAGUUGGGUUACUGCUUUGCAAGACGUGUACUUCCAGUCUUACUGAAAUCCCAUUUCCCUAGAUAGUCUGUUUGUUCUGUUAUUUACAUUGCUGAUAACUGGUGAAUAGGCUUAAAACAGAAAAGCUGGUUUUGUAUCGAAUUAGGGCUUAAAAAAAUGCAGAUGUGAAGGAGGAGAUGAUACAAACCAUACAAUUUCUGAGGCCUUGGUGCAAAACUUGGAAUGUUUUCUUUUAAAUAUCUUUCAUUUUCCAGGAUCCGAAUGAGGAGCAGUCUCCUCUAGAAUGACUACAUAUCUGGAAUUGUUUUGAAUUCUUUGACUGACUUUAACAGCUUCUUUGGAAUAAUGUUAAUGUAAGCUACUUUUAUGGUAAUCUUGGGUGAGUUAAAACCUGUAAUGCCAUCUGCCUUGAUGGUUGAAUGGUGAAAUACAUACUCUCUUAAUGUUAUUAAAAGUCCACAGACUCAAGUCUGGUGAGACCAGAAUGGUAUGGAUUCCAACAACAACAACAACAAAGUGCUUUUCUUCAUUCUGUGUAUACCUUGGUGAGAUGGAAAGAAACUGACAUCUUUGCUCUUCCUCUGUGUUGUGUGGGGAUGUGGAGUAGAUUUGUGUAGGAAUUGACUCCUCCAAGGACUACAUGUUUUCUUUUUCUUUUGCUCAGCUUGGAUCUUCAGCUGCUUUUGCCUGUGGACUGGUCACACAUACCUUAAGGAGCUGCCUUUGUUGGCCUUGAAUUUUUAAACCCCCUGGUUUUCCUUAAAAUGUUAAGGGUUAUAGCGUAGCAGUAGGGCCCAGGGUGUAGAAGGGAGCAAAACGUUUCAGAGCAGGAGAGCUGGAGACUGUAGGCAUAGGAAAGAGCUGGAGUAUAGAGUAUUAGAGAAGGGGUGGCACUGAUAGCAGAGAGACCCUACUGUAAAGGUAGAUAUGGCUAAUAACACGUAGAGUACAAGGAAGGAUAAUAAAUCUGACAUCCUCAGCUUGUCUUUUUUUAAUGACAGUUUAAGCAUGGAAAACAGUAUAUUUUUUUAUGCCAAAGGAGCAAAAAA